rnacentral:lncRNA from 1 species
UCAUAUAUAUCCACUAUUCCUAGUGCAAUAUUACCCAAAGCAUCUCUUCUCUCCCUGUACACAGGACCAAAAGUGCAGGCACAUCAUUUAUUGAUAAGACAAAAAGAAUGUAAUGAAAUUAUCAAUGUUCUUGAAUUAAUUAUGAACAUGAUUAAGAAAGCUAAAAUCUCAGGAGCCAGGAUCUCAUUACCCAUUCAGUCUUAGGGAUUGCUUUCAUUCAGCUAAGCAAAAAGGCUUUGAGCAGUCCCACAAUUGCCUUUCUCUCAUUUAUUUGUGCUAGAAUUAAGGUUUAUUUGUUUUCUGUUUUCUCCUUCUUCAGAGAUUAUUUCUCUUAGUUUAUCCAUUUAACAAAUUGUUUCUUCCUGUAUCAUAGAAGAAUGCCCCUGUAGGGCCUCCAUCACUGUCUUCUGGCUACAGACCUCCUCCUUUUGAGGGCAUUUUCUCUCCACUCAUUUUGCUGGGAGCUCCUAAAUAUCUCUCAAGUUUCUACAGAUAGCAGAAGACUUCUGCAGUCCAAUCCUGCAAAUGCAUAGUUGCUAAGAAGAGGCUUUUUAAAAGUUCUACUUUGUGGGAAAACUUGACCAAAUAUUGAGAAAGCAGAAGACAGGAAUAUUUUCACUAGAUUGGGAUGGAUGGAGAGAGAGGGAAUGAAAAUAUUGACUAAGGGUCUUUCUGCUGGAAUUGAGUUCUACAUCUUACUCAAUUGGUUAUUGUCACAAAUGAGUAAUGGAUGCACCCUGCCGGUGUCCCAUGGUACAAGAUCCAGUCCAUCAGGCCAUCAGGAGGCACAGCUGUGGGCCGCAGGGGCAGACAGAUAAAGGGAGAGCUGUUAAAGGUACAGAGACCACCAGUGACUGAGCUGCACACCCACCUCAGACAGAGCUGCUUCUGGACGGCUCAUACUUAGCAUCUGCAUUCAUCACAGCCUUUCCUGGCUUAAUGGAGAAUUCAGAUAAAACCACACAAAUGAAACCCAGAAAAUCCAAGGAGGUGGUAAUGAAGAGAAGCAACUUCCCUGCCUGGUACUUCAGAAAGACAGAUUUGGGAAGUUAAAAACAACAACAAUUAAUAACCAGUCUCCCAGUUGUGGAGAUAAGUAAACAUUUUUGCAGCAUUCUGUUUUGUUAUUUUUUUUCUUCAGUAUUAGAAUUGCAACUGACUAUUUGGGUGUCUGUUUUUCUCCCAUUCUCUGCUAGUAGAAUUGCUUUAG